rnacentral:rRNA from 1 species
AUUGUUUAGAUCUGAAAUCAGGUGGGAAUACCCGCUGAACUUAAGCAUAUCAAUAAGCGGAGGAAAAGAAACUAACAAGGAUUCCCCUAGUAACGGCGAGUGAAGCGGGAAAAGCUCAAAUUUAAAAUCUGGCAGGUUAUCCUGUCCGAGUUGUAGUUUCAAGAAGCGUUUUCGGUGCGCGUCUGGGUAUAAGUUCUUUGGAACAGGACAUCAUAGAGGGUGAGAAUCCCGUUUAUGACCCGGAACAGCGUACUAUGUGAUACGUUUUCUAAGAGUCAGGUUGUUUGGGAAUGCAGCCUAAAAUGGGUGGUAAAUUUCAUCUAAAGCUAAAUAUUGGCGAGAGACCGAUAGCGAACAAGUACCGUGAGGGAAAGAUGAAAAGAACUUUGAAAAGAGAGUUAAACAGUACGUGAAAUUGUUGAAAGGGAAACGUUUGAAAUCAGUCGUGCGGGCGGGUAAUCAGCUUGGCCUUUGGGUCUUGUGCACUUACUCGUCUCGCAGGCCAGCGUCGGUUUUGUUUGCCGGAUAAAUGCCAAUGGAAUGUAGCUCAACCUUUUACGAGGAGGGGUGUUAUAGCCCUGGUAAAUACGGCGGUCGAGACCGAGGUCUGCAGUUGAUGCCUCUCGGGGCUGGGGACUCCAUCGCUCAUUCGCACCCGCGCCUAGACAGCUUGCUGACUAGGUGUGUGGUCUGUGGGUGACACGGUGGCCUACCACACAUCGACUUGGGU